CUCCCAUGCCCCGUCUUUCCAGUUUCUACCUCCCACAAAAAUCUCAAUCUGCGCCGCCACCAAAGCCUAUCCCCCGCGGCAGUUCUCGGCCUGGCUCUGCCCUCCGGCGCCAACUCCACCCUCGGCCGGCGGCUUCCCGUUCUCCUAUGUCGGCAUCCUCGCGAGUGGGAGCCCCGUCGGCCGUCGGUGUCCUCGCCGUUGCCACGCCGCGCCCCUCCAAACUCUCAUUGCUACACCGUCCCGCAAAGAUGGGAUCCGGAAUGUCAAGAAGAUAUUCGAGGAUUUAACAUUAUGGAAAUGUUCAGCAGAUGAUCUUUUGUAAGUGAAAAGAAUACAUUUUUAUAAGAGCAAUCAAUGUGGGACCAAUACAAGAUGUGUGAUUUAUCCAUGUUCCAACCUUUUCUGCUGACAAAGAGGGUUCAGAACAAUGUAGUCGUCAUCUGUUUGAAAGAUAAGCUGGAUUAUCUCUAGAUCAGCUGGCUCAAACUAAAUUUGUUGUGUCAUCCCCACUAGUUUAGAGUUUCUAUUGGACCGAAGAUUACUAGUGUCGACAAGCAUAACCAGUCAAUCCUAAGAAAUCUUAGUUCUAUAGAGAAGAAACAAAUAAAUUAUAAGUAUUCUUUUUGAAAUCAUUGUAUAUUUCUUAUUUAAAAUUAUCUAGCUCUGCUUCUCUAUAUUUCCCUUCACCUUUUCUGGUGCUAAUGUGCUUUUAUUGCAGGAUUUAGAGGACAAAACUAAUUAUAUGGACAGAUUAUAACAGGUUUUAUAUCGGAAAUAAUCUUGAAAUGUGCAAGGGAAAUCUUCACAUUUUUCUAGAAGCCAUGUCCCUAAAAACUGCGAAAAAGCUGCGAAAGCCGUCAAGCUGAUGUACCAAACUAGCUAUAGAAUUUUUAGAUAGAUUUCGACAGAGAAUUUCCAUUUUAUUUUCAAAUUGGUUUUAACUUUCAGAUAGCCAGAAUUAAAUUAGAAGUUUAUUUUCUAGUGACAUACACAUUAUUGUAUGAACGUACAGUUCACUUGUAAAGUAUCAAUACCCUUUUUGAUAAAAAUAUUUGUAAUGGCUUGCA